CUCAGAGGAGCUGCUGGAAGACACUCGGGCCCGGAUGACCUGAACAGGAGGGUACGAGGGGGGCUCUUGCAGUGACGCGUCUCCUGUGCUGGUCUGUCCAUCACCAGGUAGUCUCAUGGCACCACAGCUUGCCUGCAAGGGGUGGCUGCAUCCAACAUCUGAGGAACAACAAUAGCCAGGAGUAAAGCUUAUCGGUCAGGCCAAACUCACUCCCAGCACCAGUGUCCUCUGGGCAGCUGGGCAGGGACCACAUUGCUGAGCAUGCGCUCAAAACAUCCCUUUACCCAGGGGCCAUGACUCCCAGGUUACAGGCACUGGGAGCCAUCAAGACAGGAGACAAGGUUCGCAUCCCAGCAGGAGAUGGCCAGCUCACAAAGCCUUGGUGCAAGUCAAACCACCUCUUCCCAGGACUUAACACUGCCCUGGCUGACAGCCCUGCUUUAGGAGGCUGAGGUACUCUCUCCUGCUCACCAAACAAGGCCCAGUGAGGCUCUGAAAUGCACAACUGACCUGAGUCCAGCACUGAAGCCUCCCAGGUGGGGCUCCCACCACCCUCAGGGUGAUCGUUAGCCUCCUUGGGUGGGGAUCUGUACCUUUUUAUCUCCCUUAUUCUGGGAGGAUAAUAGAGUAGGGCAUCUCAAAUAUGCCUUGUUGGCAUAUGGAUUACUUUGAGUUAAACACAAAUGAAAACCAGCACAAGUGGAGAAGAUAUGCACCUAACUGCCUACAAGUAAAAAAGAGUUGUCCCUUGGUGUCGAUGGGGAAGUGGUUCAGGACCCCUCAGAUGCUCAACUCCUUUGGCUAAAUGGCGUGGUAUUUGCAUAUAACCGGUGCACCUCCUCCAUAUGCUCUACAUCACCUCUUAGAUACGCCUAAUAUCUAAUUUAAUGUAAAUGCCAUGGAAAUGGUUACUAUAGUAUGUUCUCUAGGAGACAAUGACAACUAAAAAAGACUACAUUUUCAGUACGGAAAUACAUUUUUUUUUUCAAAAAUCUUUGAUCCACAGUGAAUUGAUCAAGGAUGUAGAACCCAUGGAUAUAAAUGUUCCUUGUAAAGGAAAUUUAUUUUUACAAAGGAAACUUACAUUUGUUCCCUGGGACAAGAGCCACUUCCAGAGACAACUUCCACCACUAGAGACUUGUUGCAUUAACAAGACAACCCUUAAUCACCAUACACUUCCUCCUUCGUCUUUCCUAACUUGCUCCCCAACGCCAGAAGCCCCAAACCCCUUUUCCUGCCAUAAUUUUUUUUUCGUGAACUUCCGCAUACAAGUAAUUAAAGUGUGCUCCCUCUUACUCAUUUCUGUCUUUUGUUGGUUUGAUUCAUAAUCCUCAGCCAUUAUACCUAAGAGGGUAGAGAAAAGCCUUUUUCCUCCACUUUGCUCCCCUCCAGCUGUCCCACCUGCAGCCUUGGAGAGAUCCUUUUUCACAUGGUUCCUAUCAGCUAAAGUAUCACUUCCUCCAGGAAGCCUUCCAGGACUAAUUCCCACCCUUAUGGACACUUAGCCAUGGCCCAGGCUGGCCACUCACCUGCUG